rnacentral:rRNA from 1 species
AGUAAAUUGGUUAAGUUAGAAAGGGCGCACGGUGGAUGCCUUGGCACUAGGAGCCGAAGAAGGACGGGACUAACACCGAUAUGCUUUGGGGAGCUGUACGUAAGCGUUGAUCCAGAGAUUUCCGAAUGGGGGAACCCACUAUCUUUAGUCGGAUAGUAUCCUUACGUGAAUACAUAGCGUGAGGAAGGCAGACCCAGGGAACUGAAACAUCUAAGUACCUGGAGGAAGAGAAAGAAAAAUCGAUUUCCUGAGUAGCGGCGAGCGAAACGGAAAGAGCCCAAACCAAGAAGCUUGCUUCUUGGGGUUGUAGGACACUCUAUACGGAGUUACAAAAGAAAGUUAUAAAUGAAGCGGUCUGGAAAGGCCCGCCAAAGACGGUAACAGCCCGGUAGUUGAAAUGGCUUUCCCUCCAGAGUGGAUCCUGAGUACGGCGGAACACGUGAAAUUCCGUCGGAAUCCGGGAGGACCAUCUCCCAAGGCUAAAUACUCCCUAGUGACCGAUAGUGAACCAGUACCGUGA